UGGGGAAUCUUGCGCAAUGGGCGAAAGCCUGACGCAGCGACGCCGCGUGCGGGAGGAAGGCCUUCGGGUUGUAAACCGCUUUCAGCAGGGACGAGGCCGCAAGGUGACGGUACCUGCAGAAGAAGCCCCGGCUAACUACGUGCCAGCAGCCGCGGUAAUACGUAGGGGGCGAGCGUUAUCCGGAUUCAUUGGGCGUAAAGCGCGCGCAGGCGGCUUGUUAGGUCGAAGGUUAAAGCCUGGAGCUCAACUCCAGCCCGCCUUCGAUACCGGCAAGCUUGAGUGCGGUAGGGGAAAGUGGAAUUCCCAGUGUAGCGGUGGAAUGCGCAGAUAUUGGGAAGAACACCAGUGGCGAAGGCGGCUUUCUGGGCCGACACUGACGCUCAUGCGCGAAAGCUAGGGGAGCAAACAGG
rnacentral:rRNA from 1 species